GGGCCGGUGGUCUAGAGGCAUGACGUCUGCCUUACGCGCAGAAGGUCGCAGGUUCGAAUCCUGCCCGGCCCA
rnacentral:tRNA from 1 species